UACGUAGGGGGCAAGCGUUGUCCGGAAUCAUUGGGCGUAAAGAGCGUGUAGGCGGCCCGAUAAGUCCGCCGUGAAAGUCCAGGGCUCAACCCUGGAAUGCCGGUGGAAACUGUCGGGCUGGAGUCCGGAAGAGGCGAGUGGAAUUCCUGGUGUAGCGGUGAAAUGCGCAGAUAUCAGGAGGAACACCAAUGGCGAAGGCAGCUCGCUGGGACGGUACUGACGCUAAGGCGCGAAAGCGUGGGGAGCAAACAGG
rnacentral:rRNA from 1 species